rnacentral:rRNA from 1 species
ACUAUUGGACACUGGGCGAAAGCCAGAUCCAGCCCUGUCGCGUGUGUGACGAAGGUCUCCGGUUUGUCAAGCACUUUAAGUUGGGUGGACGGGCAGUAAGUUAAUACCUUGCUGUUUUGACGUUACCGACAGAAUAAGCACCGGCUAACUUCGUGCCAGCAGCCGCGGUAAUACGAAGGGUGCAAGCGUUAAUCGGAAUUACUGGGCGUAAAGCGCGCGUAGGUGGUUUGUUAAGUUGGAAGUGAAAGCCCCGGGCUCAACCUGGGAACUGCUUUCAAAACUGCUGAGCUAGAGUACGGUAGAGGGUAGUGGAAUUUCCUGUGUAGCGGUGAAAUGCGUAGAUAUAGGAAGGAACACCAGUGGCGAAGGCGACUACCUGGACUGAUACUGACACUGAGGUGCGAAAGCGUGGGGAGCAAAC